rnacentral:rRNA from 1 species
GACGAACGCUGGCGGCGUGGAUAAGACAUGCAAGUCGAACGGGACAGACCGAGUAGCAAUAUUUGGAAUGUUCAGUGGCGAACGGGUGCGUAACACGUGGAUAACAUUCCGGAAAGCGGGGAAUAGCCCAGGGAAACUUGGAUUAAUACCGCAUGUGGCCGCAAGGCUAAAGACGGGGACCGCAAGGCCUGUCACUUUCCGAUUGGUCCGCGGCCUAUCAGCUAGUUGGCGGGGUAAUGGCCCACCAAGGCUACGACGGGUAGCUGGUCUUAGGCGACGACCAGCCACACUGGAAAUGGGACACGGUCCAGACACCUACGGGUGGCAGCAGUCGAGAAUCUUUCACAAUGGGGGCAACCCUGAUGGAGCGACGCCGCGUGGAGGAUAAGGUCUUCGGAUUGUAAACUCCUGUCAUGCGAGAACAAGGUACUCAGGCUAAUAACCUGAUUGUUUGAUGGUACCGCAAGAGGAAGAGACGGCUAACUCUGUGCCAGCCGCCGCAGUAACAC